rnacentral:rRNA from 1 species
UAAGGAAUAUUGGUCAAUGGACGCAAGUCUGAACCAGCCAUGCCGCGUGGAGGAUGAAGGUCCUCUGGAUUGUAAACUUCUUUUAUCUGGGAAGAAAUGCAUUUUUUCUAGAAUGCUUGACGGUACCAGGUGAAUAAGGAUCGGCUAACUCCGUGCCAGCAGCCGCGGUAAUACGGAGGAUCCAAGCGUUAUCCGGAAUCAUUGGGUUUAAAGGGUCCGUAGGCGGUUUUGUAAGUCAGUGGUGCAAGCCCAUCGCUCAACGGUGGAACGGCCAUUGAUACUGCAAGACUUGAAUUAUUAGGAAGUAACUAGAAUAUGUAGUGUAGCGGUGAAAUGCUUAGAUAUUACAUGGAAUACCAAUUGCGAAGGCAGGUUACUACUAAUGGAUUGACGCUGAUGGACGAAAGCGUGGGGAGCGAACAGGAUUAGAUACCCUGGUAGUCCACGCCGUAAACGAUGGAUACUAGCUGUUCGAGAGCAAUCUUGAGUGGCUAAGCGAAAGUGAUAAGUAUCCCACCUGGGGAGUACGUUCGCAAGAAUGC